CGAGGAAUCUUGCACAAUGGGGGAAACCCUGAUGCAGCAACUCUGCGUGAGUGAUGAAGGCUUUCGAGUCGUAAAGCUCUGUCAGGUGGGAAGAAACACUUCUGGGGUAAUAUUCCAGAAACUUGACGGUACCACCAAAGGAAACACCGGCUAACUCCGUGCCAGCAGCCGCGGUAAUACGGAGGGUGUAAACGUUGUUCGGAAUCACUGGGCGUAAGGAGCGUGUAGGCGGCAAAGUAUGUCAGGUGUGAAAUCCCGGGGCUCAACCUCGGAACUGCAUCUGAAACUGCUUCGCUAGAGUACGGGAGAGGAGAGUGGAAUUCCUAGUGUAGAGGUGAAAUUCGUAGAUA
rnacentral:rRNA from 1 species